AGUUGUCUGGAGAUGGUAUCCAGCACAAGCUGUUCCAUCACCUUUCCAGGGACAGAGGUAUAUUGCUGUAUUAGUUUGAAUCUAGUCAGUGAGAUGAAUAGAAGAGCCGAUCUCUGUGUCAUUCUGUCCAAUACUACAUUCUACUACAUAAGAAAUGGGAAUUAAACAUAAGAAAUGGGAAUUAAAUCAAAUCAAUUUUAAUGCACUAUUCUAAUAAGAAGACAACUGUAGUUCUAGAUUGCAAUUAUGGAGUUAAUUACAAUUUCAUUGGUACUGCUUAGGAUUAAGAAUACAAAGUUUACCUUGGGUGAACAUUUCAUUAUCUAGGAUGAAUCCAAGCUACUUUUCUUCUAAAUCAUAUCUUGGCUUAUUUCCUAACUUUGACUGUUUAAUAAAAGCAUAAAGAAUUUUACAGGUAGACUGUAUCAAAACAGGCUAGCUGGUUCAACUCCAAAUUACUGUACAGUGAUUUGAGAAAAACAUUAAUUUUGAAGGAGCUCUGGAGGCUGAGUAUAAAGAUUAUUAAACAUAAGUUAUAUAUAUGCAGAAAAAUUGCUUUUGCAUGAAUUCACUUUUAAAAUGUUAAUAUAUGCAUAAGAAAAUUGUGUUUCUUAAUCUCUGAAGAAACACUUAUCACUAGGAACCACUUAAUUCUUUUCCUGCGCUUGAUUUAUUAGCUUAUGAAAUUAUGCUAAUAGUUUGCAUGCUAAUGGUUUUGGGGCUCAAAUGACCUGAUUUUAAUAAUGAAGUAAUUUAUGCAGUAAAUGUAAUCAUCAUCUACGAAUCUCGCUUAAAAGAACAUAUCAGUGAUUACCUAUGCUAAAACCAAAUGCCUGUCAAUAUGGCACACAGCAUACGCCAUGAUGGGGAAAUGGGAUGUGCUCAGCCCAGUACACCCUUUAGAAUGGUUGAGUCCCACACUGAUGAGCUACACCAAGGCCUGCAACAACAACUUUCUUAAGAGUUUAUGAAACUUAGUGUCAGCCAACUUCCUUGCAUGAACACCUUGGAAGGAAAAAGACAAUGGCAGGAAAUGGGCGGAACUAGGAAUGGAGUCUAACCUGGAGCCAGUUCUACUCUGUGAGUAGGAGACCUCAGUGGCACAGACACCUCACACACCUGGGCAGAGGAGACUGUGGGAAGAAAGUUUGUGUUUGGGUGAGAAGAUUUAAUCUUUACAAGAAAAGGGGCACUUUUAUUAAGGAUGUGAGCUGCGUGACGUCUUAGAGAUGCAACCCCUUGCAACAUCUGGGAAGCCGAUGUGGAUGCCACGCACUCUGUUGCCAUAGAGCUGUGACAGCUUAAUGAGCCGUCGCCCAUCACAGAUCAGAACUACUGUGACUGUGUGCAGGCUCCUGCCCUGCCCCCUCUCUCCAGAGACGCGCCAGAGUCCCACAGACGAGUCCUGUCUGCACUGAGCUGCCUACCAACAAGCCUGGGCAUCCCGGCCUGGCCAGGCAGGGCUUCUGAGGUGAGAAUUCCCCUCCUUCAUUUCCACACACUGCACCUGGAGGAUGGUUCUUCUGAAAGGAUGGACGUUGUGGCAGCGGGGGCAGGAAGGCAGAAGAUAGAAGGACACAUUUCAAAGCUCAGACAUAGAGGUUUUUUGCAAACUGUAAUGACUCAAAGCAGUAUAUUUCUGUCAUGUUAGAGUCCAAAAUACCAAAGCAGUCAGUAAAAUUUAUUCUGGGAACAGUGUACCAAGAAUGAAAUACAAGAAAACCUAGGAAAAGAGAGAUGGAGAGCAUCAAAUUCAAGUUUGGAGGACAGCAGGUGAAUGACAAUCCCAAUGUUGCAAGGACAAAAAAAGAAAGAUAAGCUAAGACGACAAUCAAUCAGGGACUUUAUUUUUCUUCAUAACAGUAAGGAUACAGAAUUGUUUUCCAAGUAAAAGACUAUUCAAGUAAGUAACACUGGUUGUUCAGAAGAACAAAGCAAAGAAAAAAUAUAGGACAGAAAGAAAAAGGGACCACAUUCUCUCUUCAGUUCACGAACUUCUUAAUCACUGCAAGGUAUGGGUUUUUGGCCUACCAAUCAGACAAUGACUCAUUUUACUCAUCUGUAAGCUCUUAACUUCUACCGCUGCAGUGCCAACCUUCUUUGCCAUGAACUUCAGAGGGCACAAGUGUCUUGGCUAGCUGCUCCUGGCUCCUAUCUUGGCAAAAGAAGAUAUCUUAAUAACUCUGGCAGUCUUGGGCUAACAAAAUGUUUUAUAGCGGAUGCACUAAUGAACAUAGACAACCCUGCAAGAACUGACAGUCACAAGCAGGACUGGGACUGCCAAAAGAAGUUUUAAUUGCACUCAUUAUAUGAGGCCAUAUAACUGGGGCAACAUCUUCCAACUACCUUAACUUCCUUCUACUCUCCACCAUUGUAAUGGAGUCAGAGGUUCCGCAAUGAUAUUUUGUACCAGUCUUGUAUGAACAACAUCAUAUCCAUGAUCUACCACAACAUCUAUACGCUAAACAGCUCAUCAGCAAACAUAAAGCAUGAAGCAGACAGAGCCUACGCAGAAUCUGGUCUUGUCUUGUUUUAUCUCUAAGAGCUGUACAUGCCAUGAAGCAGCAACCAAUUCAUCUGCAGCACUAACUGAUGUGUAUUUCUCCAGCUUAGAUUCACUUGAACACAUUUAUAUAUGCAAAUAAAAUUGUCACAAGUGAAUGAAGUAAUUCCUCCUACAGGCUGGAAAGGAAGAAAAUAGGUUAGUUGUUACAACGGUUGUUAAAUAUUUAGGAGUAAGACCCCCACUUGCAGGAUGAAUGAAUGGAUAGAGACAUUCAAUCUAGUUAUGUUAUUAAUAAUUUACACUGUCUUUCAAACUGAAUAAUAUAUGCCCAGUGCGUAGCCUGUACUCAGAAUUUGAAAUAUCAAAAUGGUUCAUUGAUUAACUUAUUUUUCUGCUGGAUAUUGCACCUGCACUGCAUUUCAAAACAAGACUUCAUUACAUUUAUAUCUUUGUUGAUUACCUUCCACCAGGAAACUGACCCCAGAAAUUCCAUCACUGUGUACAAUUCAUAGUGUUAACACUUAUUUUAAGUCUCAAUCCUCAGAACGCAAAUACAGAAGUUGAUGUGGUGAUUUAAUUGAAUUUCACAUGCCAGUUUGGACUCACAUUCAUUUAAAUCCAACUUAGAUGUGGCUGACAGUUUGAAUAUCACUAUGCUGUAAGCCAAGAAUAAAAACCAGUCAACCACAGCACAGCUAACUAUAUGGAUUUCCCAUUUUGCUAAUGCAAUUCCCUCCAGUUGACAUGUCUUGCAGGCAGUAUCCUUGGAAGCAAACAACUGCAGGAAGAAAACAGCAGAUUCAAAGACAGUUUGACUUUAAAACAGUAGAAACAGUUUAUUUGCAAGUCUCUCUCUGAAACAGCUAUAUAUUUUUCAGCUACUUAUUGAUCCAGCAGUCUGGGCACCUCCACAGCUGAAAUAACAGGCUGUAGCAACAUCAGACAACACUGCUUUUGCCAUCCACCUUCCCCAGAGGAGAGAAGAUCCCUUGAUCCUUUCAGGAACAAGUGUGAUCCACUUGUACUUUUGGUACUUUGGUCAAGUGGCCACCAAUGUUUGUCCUUGGGAGAAUCCUCCCUCUCCUACAACUGACCCUCUGAAGUAGAGGGAUGCUUCUGAAGCACUCUUGCACAUGGAACCACAUGCCAAACUGUGAGGUUUGGUCAGUCCUCAGCUUGGGGCAGCACUGUGUGCCCACUUCUAUGGCCUAGCAAGGUUACAGCCCCCCAGCUGCUAACCUGGCUAGGCCACUAACACAUUGACAGCACACUUGUGUCACUGCUGCUGGCUGCACAGAGAAGGGCCCUGGGGAAAGAAAUGGCCACACUAGAUCUGGCACCAGAGCAGCAGCCGUAGUCUGGGGAGAGAAAAGCUAUCAGGAACAAAAUACUUGUUAUAUCUGCACUCGUGACUGAUUUUUCUGUGAGAGUCUAAAAGCAUACUUUGCUCCAAAAACAAAUGCAAAGCAUUUGCAAACCCUGGUGCCCUGGAACAGUACAAGCUGAUGAUAAUGCAUGCAGUGGUUGUUACGUGCACUGCAGUACUCCAUUACCCAGGAAAGUCUCCCUGAUUUGCUUCUCCUUAUCAGGAUGGUGUAACAUAACCUAAACACAGCCUGUUGAAGAAAAUAAUAAAUAUUCUUGCCAUACAUCAGGGAAUUAACUGCCCCUCUACAUCUAGCUGUAUGGGAAUCACCUCCCUUGUCAAUCUCUCCUCUUUCUCCUGUAUGCUCGACCUUUAUGUUCAAAAAUUUACUUUUUAUUAUUUACUUUAGUGUAUGAAACAGCUGCUUCUUAGUAAGGCAAACUUGGCAAGUUUAAGGCAUUAAAGCCUGACUGAGUUUUCCAAGGUAUGAUUUAUAGUUCCCUUUUAUUUGUACAUUAUGUAGAGAAGCCAAGAAUGAAUAAUCCUUUUGGGUAUCAGGAAUCCAAAAGUCUGGUAUCUUAGCAAUAGCCAGUGUAAGGCAACUGGCCUAAACAUACUGUUGUUAGAUUUUGGCAAUGCUUUGCCUUUCUGAAGGUUGAUUCCAACCUGGAGAGAUCAUAGCAUAUUCUUGCUUCAUAUACUUGGCCCUUAUAAUACUGCAGAAUAGACAAUCCUUGAAGAUUAGAGCAUGAUACCAAUGUAAACAGAAGCCAUAAUUAUUUUUAAAAUUAAAUCUAAAAAUAGCAACUCCCACCUACACUUGAUUUUAGAAGUGGGGGAAACUCUCAUUUGGAGUAGUUUUUUAUAGUCAUAGCUAAGUGUGACUAUAAAUCUCAGCAGUAUAGCUAAGAUUUCUUUAGCUGGUUAGAUUUCAUUAGAAAGCAAGACUAAAACAAAACAAAACAAAAUAACAACACUGGUUGGACUUUAUAAAAGCAGUACCUUUACAAGUGUUCAUUCUUGUUGCCAUACAGCUCGCUAGCUACUAGCCAACCUUGCUGCCACUCAUUUUGCUUUUUGUUUAUAAAUAUGUCCUUGCUUAGCUCUUUUUUUGUGCUGGCCAGAAGCAACAAAAAUGACAGAUGACUUUGGCCAAAGAGACCAAAUACAUAUUAUAUUCUAUUUCAUAUUCACUCAUUCAUUUCAGAAAAAGGCUUAUUUUAAACCAAAUUAAGCAAAACAAGUCAGCACUACAAAAAUAUUUAUCAAAGAACCAGCACCUAAAGUUGGAAGAAGUGCUAGUGACUGGAUUUGUUAUCUGGUUAUAAAUUUAUUUUAAAAAGCAAUGUAAUUAACUCACAAGGGCUGAUUGAGUCAGCCUCACCAGUGCCAGAGGCUCAGUGUUGCUGCUCUUGCAUGACCUGCCUUGUACACAAUACAGAGAGAAGUGCAGUUCACAGUGGAAACAAAUACAUUAGGAGAUGCAUUGGGCUGAACCCAAUUCUGCAAAUACCUGAGCAUGUACAGCAAAGAGAAUGUUUCUUCAUUUGUGGCAUCAAGGGCAUCCACUGAUCUGUUGAAUGUGCCGUGAUGCGUGGCACGUUACUCAAGGGAAUCUCCUUUAAUCUGUCUGAAAAUCUGGAUGGAACAUAAGAACAAAGUUAUUCUCUGCAGACCUGCAGUCACUUCAGCAGCAAAUCAUUUUUUAUAACUCAGGCUGCUGGGACUAACUUUAAAGCCUCAUUUUGUUGGAAGUUUGAAAGGUACACCUUGUAUACAGUUCUCAUCUUUUCGCUCAGAUCUAUGCAGAGUUUUUGAAAAAGUGACACCGUUUUCAGCUGGGAUGGAAAGAAGUUUUAUUCUGCUGGAAAAAAAGAAAAUACCUUCAUGUUGAUCUUUUGUAAGGAACAUUUUCAAACGUAAGCCUUUAUUGCCAACAAUGAGUGGGAUGACACCUGGAAGUCAGACCUUUUGAUGUCAAUUCAGAGCAAUGAAAGAGAAGCAAAAAAGUUGCCAGAGACACUGGGAGGAGAUUAAUGGGAAGAAAACUAUUAGUUAUGUGCAGUUCUGUGGAUGUCUGCAAAAAUACCGUGAUCAUGGUUGAAAACAAAUAUUACUCACCUUUUAGACAGUGAGGCACUUGUUUUGUCUCUACAGCAAUAAGUCAAAGAUCUGGAAGGACAAAGCUGCACCAACCGGGGCAGAUCCACAAACCUGAGGUGUAGACACUAACCCCUGAAUUGUUUUUCUGAUUUCCAAAUUAUGCAUUCUGUGCUUGACAAUAUUGAAUGAGCAAGAACACCCUUUAAAAUCAAGCAUCUUGUAAGGCAGCAAAUCUUUUUAUCUUUUUAAAAAUCACUUUCUCUGCAAUGAAAUUCUUAUUCAAUAAAAUGUAUUUCCCUUAGGAACUCAGACUUCGUGGAUGAGAUAAAAGCAGUGGGAUGAGGAGAAAAUAUAAAAUCUAGUCACUAGGGGAAUUUGCUUCUCGGUCUAGAUUUUCACUGUUCGUGAAUAGGGUUUUACACCUUUCUCUGCCAAAUACUUAGCAGGGAAGCUGGCACAACUACAGUAGACACAGUCUCUCCAUCUGAACCUGCAAGAAGCACCUGGUGACAAAGUGUAUGAAAAAAUUCAGUGUGCCAGACAUCUGUGGCAAAUGAAAGACUACCUCCGUUGCUUUUUGCUAAUAAGGGGGAAGAUGGAUUAAAUAUGGGGAAAAAAAA